rnacentral:misc_RNA from 1 species
GAUGAAGAACGUAGCGAAAUGCGAUACUUGGUGUGAAUUGCAGAAUCCCGUAAACCAUCGAGUCUUUGAACGCAAGUUGCGCCCGAAGCCAUUUGGUUGAGGGCACGUCUGCCUGGGCGUCACAUAUCGUUGCCCGAUGCCUAUUGCACUGUGAUAGGAAAUUCUAGGGCGAAAGAUGGCUUCCCGUGAGCGUUGUUGCCUCGCGGUUGGUUGAAAAUCGAGUGCAUGGUGUCGGGUGUACCAUGAUGGAUGGUGGUUGAGUGAUGAUGCUCGAGACCAAUCAUGGGUAACUCCACCAGAAUUGGGCUCGGUGACCCACAUGCGUCCCUUGGAUGCUCCCUAAGGAGACCUCAGGUCAGGUGGGGCUACCCGCUGAGUUUAAGCAUAUCAAUAAGCGGAGGA